rnacentral:lncRNA from 10 species
AAGAGUAUGGAGUGGAAAUGACCACCAUAUGUGACCUGAAGAAACAGAAGGAGAAACUGUUGAAGUUCUACGGUGAAAGUGAUGAACAGAAGUUAAUGAAAAAGUAGAAAAACACUGCAUAAAGCUGAAAUGAUGAUCUCAAUUGUGGAUUGAAAGUAUGCAUACAUCAGCAUUGCAAUGAACACAUGCCACUUAGUGGUAUACAGAUCAUGAAACAAGCAAAGAUUUAUUGUGACGAACUGAAAAUUAAAGGGAACUAGAAAUAUUCAACAGGCUGGUUGCAGAAAUUUAAUAAAAGACAUGACAUUGAAUUUUUAAAGAUUUGUGGUGAUAAAGCAUCUAUUGAUCAUGAAGCAGUGGAUAAAUUCAAUGACAAAUUUGCCAACGUCAUCACUGGUGAAAAUCUGAUGCCAGGACGUGCAUGAAAUUUGGCGCCGUGACUCGGAUUGGGGGAACUCCCCUGGGAGAUCAAUCCCCUGUCCUCUUGUUCUUUGCUCCAUGAGAAAGAUCCACCUACGACCUCAGGUCCUCAGACUGACCAGCCCAAGGAACAUCUCACCAAUUUUAAAUCAGGUAGGUGGCCUCUUCUUACUCUCUUCUCCAACCUCUCUCACUGUCCCUCAACCACUUUCUUCUUUCCACUCUUCAAUCUCUCCCUUCUCUUAAUUUCAAUUCCUUUCAUUUUCUGGGAGAGACAAAGGAGACACGUUUUAUCUGUGGACCCAAAACUCCGGCGCCAGUCACAGACUGGGAAGGCAGGCUUCCCUUGGUGUUUAAUCAUUGCAGGGAUGCCUCUCUGAUUAUUCACCCACGUUUCAAAGGUGUCAGACCACGCAGGGACGCCUGCCUUGGUCCUUCACGCUUAGCAGCAAGUCCCGCUUUUCUGGGGAAGAGGCAAGUACCCCAACCCCUUCUCUCCUUGUCUCUACCCCUUCUCUCCUUUCCUGGGGCAGGGGCAAGUACCCCUCAACCCCUUCUCCUUCACCCUUAGUGGCAAGUCCUGCUUUUCUGGGUGAGGGGCAAGUACCCCUCAACCCCUUCUCCUUCACCCUUAGUGGCAAGUCCCGCUUUUCUGGGGGAGGGGCAAGUACCCCUCAACCCCUUCUCUUUCACCCUUAGCGGCAAGUCCCGCUUUUCUAGGGGGCAAGAACCCCCAAUCCCUUAUUUCCGCACCCCAACCUCGUAUCUCUGUGCCCCAAUCCCUUAUUUCCAUGCCCUGACCCCUUAUUUCCAUGCCCCAACCCCUUAUUUCCAUGCCCUGACCUCUUAUCUCUGUGCCCUAACCCCUUUUCCCACUUUUCUGGAAGGGAAGAACCCCCAAACCCCUUCCCUCCAUUUCUCUACUCUCUUCUCUAGGCUUGCUUCCUUCACUAUAGGCAACCUUCCACCCUCCAUUCCUCCUUCUACUCCCUUGGCCUGUGUUCUCAAAAACUUAAAAUCUCUUCAACUCACAACUGACCUAAAACCUAAAUGCCUUAUUUUCUUCUGCAAUGCCACUUGACCCCAAUACAAACUCGACUGUAGUUCCAAAUAGCCAGAAAAUGGCACUUUGAAUUUUUCCAUCCUGCAAGAUCUAAAUAAUUCUUGUCCUAAAAUAGGCAAACAGUCUGAGGUGCCUGACGUCCAGGCAUUCUUUUACACAUCAGUCCCUUCCUUGUCUCUGUGCCCAGUGCAAAUCAUCCCAAAUCUUCCUUCUUUCCCUCCCGCCUGUCCCCUAAGUCCCAAACCCAAGCAUCGAUGAGUCUUUCUAAUCUUCCUUUUCUACAGACCCAUCUGACCUCUCCCCUCCUUGCCAGGCCUAGCUAGGUCCCAAUGCUUCCUCAGCCUCCGCUCCUCCACCCUAUAAUCUUUUUAUCGCCUCCCCUCCUCACACCUGGUCUGGCUUACAGUUUCGUUCUUGACUAGCCCUCCCCCACCUGCCCAGCAAUUUACUCUUAAAAAGGUGGCUGGAGCCAAAGGCAUAGUCAAGGUUAAUGCUCCUUUUUCUUUAUCCCAAAUCGGAUAGCGUUUAGGCUCUUUUUCAUCAAAUAUAAAAAUCCAGCCCAGUUCAUGACUUGUUUGGCAGCAACCCUGAGA